rnacentral:tRNA from 1 species
GCCGGCAUAGCUCAGUUGGUAGAGCAACCGCCUUGUAAGCGGUAGGUCACGGGUUCGAUUCCUGUUGCCGGCACCA